UAUACAUAAAAAUAGACUUUAACAGUAACUUACUACGGCAGAAGUAGCCAAUGUACAUAAUACAUUUUAAACCCAUCUACAAAGUUUCUGCUAGGCAUUAAAUGGCCACUGGAUGGCAGUGAAGAUAUAUAAAAACGUUUUGUUUCAAGUUGUACUGGGCAAGUAGUGUAUGGGCAGAUAUGUCAUAUAUAUAUAUAUAGGAAAGCAGUGGUGGACCGUCAGGGCCAGCAAGGCCUUCUCUGCUGGCCUAACAUAAAUUAUGAUCAUAAGUUGAUAAAGGUUCAUUUAAUUAUUUAUUUACUUUUCAUAAAUACACGAAGCAUACUUCAUAUUCUCUCCAUGUCAUAUUAGGCUCCUUCCAGUGUUGAUGUUUUUAGGUUAGAGUUUUUAUCCAAUCAGAAUUCAGCAAUGUAAGCGAACCGAAGCGAACGGGCACAUACAGUUGAUAGACAGUUACUCUUGCCAAUCAGAUCACGAGUUGUUGACUGUAGGCCUUCUAGCUGGCCUCACGUUGAACGUUAAAUGUAUGCGUCCUGUGAUUGGAUACUCGCUUCCCGCCGUAAAACAACAAGAAGUUCAACGGAGAUUAACCGAUUAGCAGAGAGAGAAAUCUAAUAUCUACUCGCUUUUAAAUUUUACAAUGGCCGAAGGAGGGCAAAGCCUGGAUUUGCGAACUUAAAUUGCUUAACGACGGCCCCAAUGAGACACCAAAGCACGACUGGACACUUGCAAGCAACGGUUCUUCUAAAAACUUUUGGGGACACCCGAGUGGAUGCACAGCUCAACGAACAGGUGCGAAAGGGAAUUAUUGUUGUAACUGAAGCGUACAGAUAAACUGUACAACCAGGUCAUUGAGGUCUUCUUGAGGAAAGAAAGGAGAAUGGAUUUUGUAGUGUUUGGAGGACAGCUGUUUUGCUCCAGCGUCCUCUCUCUGAAAUCCACCCCGAUCGUAGCCUCUGGGUUUUUCAGGAAAGCUCCACCGCAGAAUCUAAGCUAUGCUGACGCUGGACUCACUCUCCUCCUGAAGUCGAGCCAUGACCUCCACAUCUGUCAUGUCCUGCAGUUUGUAGCCCAUAGAGAUGGUUUCGUUGUCCAGGUCUGACACACCAGCGUCACUGUCCAGG